rnacentral:lncRNA from 1 species
GGAAAGACCAUCUAGAUUCUGGAAAGCAUUUAUAAUUUUGCCCUGCUCAAAGCUCAAAUAGAAACUCCAGACUGCUAACUGCAAUCAGCACUUUCCACUUUCCCAAAUGCACUGUACAAAAAAAAAAAAAAAAAAAAAAAAGGUACUACUUUCUAUUUGAGCUGUGAGCAAAGCAAAAUUAGAAAAAGCUGUUCUCUAGAUCCUGGAGCUCAGAAUCACUCUAGGCCUCAUAUGACCCUACAGCAAACCAGAAGAUCAAAUCAGUGCCAUGUUAUAAUCCCUUCUUUGCAUAUGAGCACACGUCAAGGCAUAAUGGUGGAGCCUACAUCACCGACUAAAGCUCUGAUUGAAAGUUUCCUUCUGCUACAGAAAGAAAAAAACUAAUCCUGCCCCCUAAAUGUUGAGGGAUCUCCCUCUGAAGACUUCCUCUCUCUUUUGUGUUUGGUCAAUGUAGGCAGGCAGGAGAAAAGACUGAAGGAUCUCCCCAAUGCUAUUAACUAAGAGACUUGACUUACAAUUGUAAGAUCUUAAGAGAAAUCAAUUGAGAAGAAAAUUUUUUUUUUUUUUUUUUUUUUUGAAGAAGAAAAUUCUUAAAAUGUCAUGGGUUCUAUGAAGCCGACCCUCUUGCCUCCAGUUUUUCUAUACUUCAGCUCAACCUGCACAUUGAAUCCAGAAAUUGUUCAUGAAACUCAGCCUUUCAAGGUGAUCAAAACCCUAUUUACUACCAAUGUGCUAAAUGGAGCAUGGAAUCAUUGUCCAGAUAGUUCUCAGUAAGGUACAAGGAUAAUCCACAAAUAACAACCGUCAUAACUAAUAAGGAUAAAUAUGAAAACCUCCACAUGGAUAAGAGAAACAUUAACACACACCUACAGGUGAGGAGAAGCUGGCCAAACAGCAAUUUGUGUUUUAUUUUUUUUUUAAGCCAUAGGAUUUCAAUUGAUUCUAGGUUCCUUAAGUGUCAUUGUGAAAUUAAGCUGUCUGCAAAGAGAGUUAAUAGCAUUCUUGGGUAAAGAAAAAUAACUUCAUUUUAAUCUAUACUGUCCAGAAUGUAUUCAGAGAAUUGUUUUAAAUUGGGUGGCUUUAAAAAUCGAAUAAUAAAGGUUAUCAGUUGAAAUGUUAUUAGAGUCCA